rnacentral:rRNA from 1 species
AGCAGUAGCCGCGGUAAUACGAAGAGGGCUAGCGUUGCUCGGAAUCACUGGGCGUAAAGGGUGCGUAGGCGGGUCUUUAAGUCAGGGGUGAAAUCCUGGAGCUCAACUCCAGAACUGCCUUUGAUACUGAAGAUCUUGAGUUCGGGAGAGGUGAGUGGAACUGCGAGUGUAGAGGUGAAAUUCGUAGAUAUUCGCAAGAACACCAGUGGCGAAGGCGGCUCACUGGCCCGAUACUGACGCUGAGGCACGAAAGCGUGGGGAGCAAACAGGAUUAGAUACCCCCGUAGUCCCUGUCUCUUAUAC